CCUGGUGACCCUGAGGAAAUCAGAGAAUGAAAUCCAGGCUGAGGAGGCCGGAGGUGUAUUCUGCAGGCUGUUUCUGUCUCCAGAUGCCUUUGUUGAUGGACAGCUGCGGAUCUUCUCCUCCACACUUGUCUCUCUAGGCACAGCCGACCCAAGCUCCUAGCAUCGACUGUGCUUUCCCCGAAUGCACCCUCUGGGGUGAGAGGCAAAGUAUUCGGAGUCCAAAGAGCUCCUGCCCACCUCGUAAGCAUAAGAGCAUGGAUCUGCAGCAGGACUUUGACGUCAAGAGAAGUGGCCUGGCGAAGGCAGUUGCACAGCUGUGACCGUGGCCAGUGGAGGCUAGGCCGGCAGCAGGGCCCUCCUAGAUCUUCCCUUCAGCAUUCUUGGGGGGCAGGGGCCAUGCAGCCCGAGGGCCUCUGCUUGGCCUGACCCCUGGGGGGCUCCGGCCCAGUAACAGAAAUGCUGGGUUUAUCAAGCUCCUCGAUGCCCCGAUGCCUCCUGGCCCUCCUCCUCGUCCAGCUGCCAUCCAGCUAUGCAGGGCAGUUCCAAGUGGUGGGACCAGCACAUCCUCUCCGGGCCCUGGUCGGGGACGCAGUGGAGCUGCCCUGCCGCAUCUCUCCUGGGAAGAAUGCCUCGGGCAUGGAGGUGGGGUGGUACCGGCCCCCAUUCUCCAGGGUGGUCCACCUGUACCGCCAGGGCAGGGACCAGGACGCAGAGCAGGCCCCCGAGUACCGGGGGCGGACCGAGCUGCUGACGGAAGCCAUCGGGGAGGGGAAGGUGACCCUCAGGAUCCGGAACGUCAGGUUCUCUGACGAGGGCGGCUUCACCUGCUUCUUCCGAGACCAUUCUUACCAAGAGGAGGCGGCGGUGGCGUUAAAAGUGGAAGAUCCCUUCUACUGGAUCAGCCCCGGAGUGCUGGUCCUCAUCGCCGUGCUGCCCGUGCUCCUCCUGCAGAUCUCCGUGGGCUUGGUCUUCCUCUGCCUGCAGCACAGACUGAGAGGGAAACUUCGAGCUGAAAUAGAGAAUCUGCACCGGACUUUUGACACUGUCUAGCUGAGGUGAGACAUACCGGAACAGGAAAACAAAGCCCACACCAUCUCCUGUCCUCUGACCGAAUGAGCUCGACUCAGGGCUUCUGGAGGAAGACAAGGCCACCACACCCCACUAGAAAUCGAUCCCUUUUCUUAUUACUCCAGACUAUCCAGUGCCUAAACCCAAGGACAACAGAAGAGCCUGCAGGUGUUUGUGUUUCUGGAGAGGAUAUCUCACUAUGCAGCUCCGGCUGGCCUUGAACUCGCCAUGUAGCCCAGGCUGGCUUUGAACUUGCAGUGAUCCUCCUGCCUCAGCCUCUGAGUGCUGGGAUUACAGGCCUGGCUGAGUAUGAGAUCGGAACACCGUUUAUAUCAGCAGCAGACCCCUUCAAGAAUGUUUCUGUUCUUCAGGGCAGGCUAUGGAGACCUGGGCCUUGUAUAUGCUAGACAGGUGCUCUCCCAUGAGCCACAUCCCUGGCCCCACAGUAACGUUUGUAAAUGAACACAUAAAAUAGUGUGUGUGUGUGUGUGUCACAGGAUCACAAAGUCAUUACAUUGAAAGUUAUCAACAUCUGAAGAAAUCUGAUAUAACACAUUGCUUUAAGUAACAAAAGUAAUGCAUUAAAUAAUGUAGCAGCAACCCUAAUAAUGUAAUUUCAAAAUAUAACAUAAGCAGGGCCGGGGAUUUAGCUCAGUGGUUCUGCCGCCUGCCUCACAAGUGCAAGGACCUGAGUUCGAUCCCCGGUACCAAAAAAAAAAAAAUACAUAAACAUAACAAAAUAAACAUAAACAGUAUCUGGAGAUUUCUGUAACAACUUUAAUGGAAAAAAAAAAAAUGGGAACAAUGAGCCAGAUUCAGAAAGACAAGAAUCUUGUGUUUUCCCAAAUGUGGAAUCUAGGAAUAAUAAAAAAGUCAUGAAAGUAGAGACUGUUAGAUAAGAAAAAGGGUAUCAGGAAGAGGGUUUGUGGGAUGGAUGUGAUCAAUGUUGCAUGCAUGUAUAAAAAGGCCACAAAAUGCAGUAUUUUGCUCAAUUUAACAUGGCCAGUUAUCUACUUCUGUAUAUAUCUAUCAUCUGUGAUUUCCACUGGUGAUUCACAGGUACCACUGAUUUGUGGGUUUUGGUGUCUGCAGUUCUAGAGACUGAACAGGGGGCCAACAGGUGCCAGGCAAGCCCUCUACCACGGAAGCACAUCCUCAGCACUGGUGCAUUUGCGUGUGUGCACGUGUGUGUGCGCACCUGGUAGUGGGGACUGAACCCAGAGGUUCACCACUGAGCUACAUCCCCCAUCCCUUUUUAUGAGACAAGGUCUAAGUGGCCAAGCCUGGCCUCAAACUUGCGAACCUCUGGCCUCAGUCUCUACAGUAGCUGGGAUUACUGCCAUGCAUCACUGGGCCCAAUUUAUUGCUUGUAUUUUAAUGAAGAAAGUCCUUGCUGAGCAUGGUGAUGCAUGCCUGUAAUCCCAGCACUUGAAAGGCUGAGACAGGAGGAUCAUGAGUUCAAAGUCAGCCUGAACUACACAGAGUUCAAGGCUAGCCUGGACUCCAUAGAGACCCCGUCUCAAAAAAAAAAAAAAGAGUAUGCUAAAUCUAGCUAGGUAAGGUGGCACGCCUGUAAUCCCAGCACGCAGGAGGCGGAGGCAGGAGGAUCACUGUGAGUUCCAGGCCAGCCUGGGGUACACAGUGAGUUCAAGACAGCCUAAAAUACAGGGAGACCUUGUUUCAACCCCACACACACCACAAAAUAAGAAAUCCAAUAAAAAACCAGGUGUGGUGGCACACCUGUAAUCUCAGCUACUUAGGAGGCUGAGGCAGCAGGAUCAAAUUCCAGUCUAGCCUAAGUAACUUUGUGAGAACUUGUCUCAACAAAUACAUACUUUUCUAAAGGGCUAAGGAUGUAGCUUAGUGAUAGAGCUUGCCUAGGAUGUGUGAAGCCCAGGUUCAAUCCCCAGUGAACUGAAAAGAAAAAGAAAAGGAAGGAAAAACCCAAUGAGGAGGAAAAAGCUGGGUAGGGCACAAAGCAAAACAUAUUAACCUCGCUUGUUCUGGUGGGUAAUCCAGAUGCCCACUUCCUGAGGGUGCCCUGCUGGAAGAUAAGCCUGUUUGUGAUCGUGCCGGUUCUUGGACCUCUGGUUGCCUUGAUCAUCUGCUACAACUGGCUACACCGAAGAUUAGCAGGGCAGUUUCUUGAGGAGCUAAGGAACCCCUUCUGAGGGGGCUGCGUCCUGGAGCGCCGGCUCCUUGGGGAUGCCUCGUCCACUGAGCUGCACGCCCCUCCUCUCUGCAGCAGAGACAUUUCAAUCCGCACUUGCAGACCACAAAUUUCAAAUGCAGCUGACUUCCGCUUGCCUUUUCCUCCCUCCCUCCCUCCCUCCCUGCCUCCCCUCCCCAUGUCUUGCUAUCCUCUCCAUCUCCAUCUCCCUCUGCCCAAGGCCAGGUGGGUGCUCUUCUCGCUGUCAGAGGACACCGUCUUGCAGGAUGACAGACCACAGGCCCUCGGCUGCUACCUGGAGAUCAGGUGCACCCUCCUCACACAGCAAAUGGCGGCUGCUGCUCUGAGACUGCGGCCCUGACUGGACAGAACUGAGGGGCAGGGGCAGAAGGCAAAGGACAGGGAAAUCCAAGUAUCACAGAGGAAGCUGAGAAAACUGCGGAGUACGGAUGCGGUGGACCUAACGCAAACCUGGAGCUGAGGAGACCCAAGAACUCAGGCCAGGGCUCCAUCCUGCGCAGCAGCCAAGGGAGGUGGCUGCGAAGGCGGAUCUGCCCGAGACGUUUGCCUCCUCCUGCCUGCACCCCUCAGCCUCACCUCACCUCUUUCCCCAUCUUUACACUUAUCAGAGCACCCACGGUUUUAUUCAACUACUGAUUAAAAAAAACAACCACUA